rnacentral:rRNA from 1 species
GACUAUCAACCUCUGGUGUCGGCUCUCGACGCCCGCGUCACUCCUGCAACCCUCGACGAGCUCUUCGCCAUGCUAUCAAACUUUGAUCAGCGCAUGGCCCAGUUCAAUGGAUCCGGUGGCUUCAAGUCUUCUGCUAACAUGGCGUCACGUGGCCGGGGCGGUGGAUCCCGC